rnacentral:rRNA from 1 species
AUACGUAGGGGGCGAGCGUUGUCCGGAAUGAUUGGGCGUAAAGGGCGCGUAGGCGGCCCGGUAAGUCUGGAGUGAAAGUCCUGUUUUUAAGAUGGGAAUUGCUUUGGAUACUGUCGGGCUUGAGUGCAGGAGAGGUAAGUGGAAUUCCCAGUGUAGCGGUGAAAUGCGUAGAGAUUGGGAGGAACACCAGUGGCGAAGGCGACUUACUGGACUGUAACUGACGCUGAGGCGCGAAAGUGUGGGGAGCAAACAGGAUUAGAUACCCUGGUAGUCCACACUGUAAACGAUGAAUGCUAGGUGUAGGGGGUAUCGACCCCUUCUGUGCCGCAGUCAACACAAUAAGCAUUCCGCCUGGGGAGUACGGCCGCAAGGUCGAAACUCAAAGGAAUUGACGGGG